UAGAUUUGGCAAAACAUGUUUCCUACACUG
rnacentral:piRNA from 1 species